AUCCACCUGCCUGAGAUACAUUUCCAAGAGGUUACACAGUGUCUAAUGGACUCUUGUGAUGUUGGAGGAAUAACUUCUUCGGAUGAUAUCAAGUCCGCACUAUACAAGGAACAAGACGGCUUCCAACAAUGAUUAUUUUAAAGAUGGAGAGAAUUUUGCUGCCUCUGAUGAUAGUCCUCUUGUCCCACAGAGCACUUGGACUCUUUUUUCAAAGAAGCAAAUGUCAAGGGAAGACCUACUAUCCAAGGUUUCAGUUGUGCUGCUGGGGAGUGACUGGUCCGAAACUACCGUUUGUGCAACCCAGAUGCUGCGGUACGAAAGUGUACGGGGCCAAAGUUAGUGGGUGUUGUGGACUUCGGGUCUAUACCCGCCUUCUUCAGAAGUGCUGCAAUUCGGAAAUGAGU